AAUUUGGGGAUCAUUUGCGGUCCGGGAUCAUUUGCGGUCCUGGGAUCAUUUGCGGACCCGUACAUAUCUGUCACUGCACUUCUUGAGGUAAAUUUUGCCUCUCUACCAGGCGGUGUUGGACACGGUUCACGUGACAGUAUUCGACCAAUCAUAUGUCGUCUCAGCUGGCGCAAUGGCGUACACAUUUUUCGUUGCGAAUGGAGAGUAGGUACUUUUUCUAGGAGCUGCUAGUGUAAUAUCUAGACCAGUUAUUUGCCAAGCCUUAAGUGCAGUGCGUAUGUCAUCCGUUUGUUUGGCCGAUGUUCAAGAUUUUUGGAUCCUGCUUUGGAUGCUAGUCCAUUAAAGAUUUCAUCUCAUUUUCAAUGAAUUUUCACUAUCAUGAUCACUGCCUGUCUUGAAUUGUAAUCUCUAACAGAAAUUUAUUACUCUUGGAUCGGAUGUUAUUGGUCAGUCAACUAUGGCUGAUUAUUUUGAUCUCCCACUUCUUUAUGCUUGUUUUCCUUGUAAUGUUGUUAGUAGUGGGAGACUAUACAUAAGCUUAAAUCAAUAAAUAAUAGCUGUUUCAUGUG
rnacentral:lncRNA from 1 species